GUGCACCAGGCGCGAAACCUCCGCAAUGCACGCAAGUGCGACGGGGGAACCCCAAGUGCCACUCUUAACGGGGUGGCUUUUCAGAAGUGUAAAAAGCUUCUGGAAUAAGGGCUGGGCAAGACCGGUGCCAGCCGCCGCGGUAACACCGGCAGCUCAGGUGGUAGCCGCUUUUAUUGGGCCUAAAGCGUCCGUAGCCGGUCUGAUAAGUCUCUGGUGAAAUCCCACAGCUUAACUGUGGGAAUUGCUGGAGAUACUAUCAUGACUCGAGGUCGGGAGAGGCUGGAGGUACUCCCAGGGUAGGGGUGAAAUCCUGUAAUCCUGGGAGGACCACCUGUGGCGAAGGCGUCCAGCUGGAACGAACCUGACGGUGAGGGACGAAAGCCAGGGGCGCGAACCGGAUUAGAUACCCCCGUAGUCC
rnacentral:rRNA from 1 species